UCUGCAGUGGUACAGUGGAGAUUUUAAGGCGCAGUGCUGUGUUUUAAUAGACUAUUAAACUACAGCAUUACACAUUAGCUGCCUAUGGCACAAGUGCAGAAAUAUCGAAGACAUGCUCUGGGGAAAGCACUGUUUGCUUUAAUGGGGAGAUGCUGCGCUAGACUGAAAAUCUCUGCAAAGGGUCGGGGGUGGGGUGGGGGAGUACCCAAGGGCUGUGACCUUGGCUGAAGCAAACCUUCUUCUCCUUCCCAGUCCCUGAGCCUCGGACAGCAUGUCCCGGCCCGCUCGUCACCAACGCAGCACCGGAUGGCUCCUUGCUCCCUGUUAAGGAAGCUUCUGGCCAAGGGCUCAAGAAGCUAUCUAAUGACCGCCCAUGAUGGAAAGAGACGAAAAUGUACCUCUCCACCCUGGUUAUCCCCUUGCUUCUUAAAUUGGCUCAACAUCUCUAGCAUCCUCUACUUUCCUGCUGACGUCAGCACCUCUCACUGGAGUUCCAGAGGGACCUGACUUGGGUGGGAAGACAGAUGGGGACUGCAAGUUGGACCCAAAGAGGACUGCUCUGUUACCAACAAAAUGAGACACAACUCUCAUUUUUAUCCCCUGAAAUUGUUCCUCCUUGCAAUUAAACCAAUCUCUGUUUACAAGUAUUUAGCACGAUUCUAGAAAUUACAUUUUGAAAUUAUGCGAACAGAGAGAGAAGGCAACCCACACAGUGAGCGAUUUCUUGUGGAUAAUUGGCUGCUGGUUCUGGCUCCAAUGAUGCCUUCUCUUUUAGAACAUAAUAGUGAUUUCAAAGAAAACUGUUAGAAAUGGCCCAGGUCUUUAAAGAAAGGCUUUUCCAGUUCUUAGCAUUAGGAGAGCUACUCAAA